rnacentral:rRNA from 1 species
GACCGAUAGUGAACCAGUACCGUGAGGGAAAGGCGAAAAGAACCCCGGCGAGGGGAGUGAAAAAGAACCUGAAACCGUGUACGUACAAGCAGUGGGAGCCCCACCACUAAGCCAGUGGUGAACUCCACAUACGCAUCCUUUGCUGAGGAUACGGUUAACGGAGCGAAAGCGACGUUCAACCUCAAAAGAAGCAGAGGGGGCUUAGUGGUGGGGUGACUGCGUACCUUUUGUAUAAUGGGUCAGCGACUUAUAUUCUGUAGCAAGGUUAACCGAAUAGGGGAGCCGGAGGGAAACCGAGUCUUAAUUGGGCGUUAAGUUGCAGGGUAUAGACCCGAAACCCGGUGAUCUAGCCAUGGGCAGGUUGAAGGUUGGGUAACACUAACUGGAGGACCGAACCGACUAAUGUUGAAAAAUUAGCGGAUGACCUGUGGCUGGGGGUGAAAGGCCAAUCAAACCGGGAGAUAGCUGGUUCUCCCCGAAAGCUAUUUAGGUAGCGCCUCGUGAAUUCAUCUCCGGGGGUAGAGCACUGUUUCGGCUAGGGGGCCAUCCCGGCUUACCAACCCGAUGCAAACUGCGAAUACCGGAGAAUGUUAUCACGGGAGACACACGGCGGGUGCUAACGUCCGUCGUGAAGAGGGAAACAACCCAGACCGCCAGCUAAGGUCCCAAAGUCAUGGUUAAGUGGGAAACGAUGUGGGAAGGCCCAGACAGCCAGGAUGUUGGCUUAGAAGCAGCCAUCAUUUAAAGAAAGCGUAAUAGCUCACUGGUCGAGUCGGCCUGCGCGGAAGAUGUAACGGGGCUAAACCAUGCACCGAAGCUGCGGCAGCGAACGUAUCACUUAAAGCGAUUCAGCGGGUUACGAUUGACGGAGCGAAGCGACGUCAAAGCGUAUACAAAGUCGAGUCGGUUUAAGGAUACGUUCGUUGGGUAGGGGAGCGUUCUGUAAGCCUGCGAAGGUGGCCUGUGAGGGUUGCUGGAGGUAUCAGAAGUGCGAAUGCUGACAUAAGUAACGAUAAAGCGGGUGAAAAGCCCGCUCGCCGGAAGACCAAGGGUUCCUGUCCAACGUUAAUCGGGGCAGGGUGAGUCGACCCCUAAGGCGAGGCCGAAAGGCGUAGUCGAUGGGAAACGGGUUAAUAUUCCCGUACUUGGUGUUACUGCGAAGGGGGGACGGAGAAGGCUAUGUUGGCCGGGCGACGGUUGUCCCGGUUUAAGCGUGUAGGCUGGUUUUCCAGGCAAAUCCGGAAAAUCAAGGCUGAGGCGUGACGACGAGGCACUACGGUGCUGAAGCAACAAAUGCCCUGCUUCCAGGAAAAGCCUCUAAGCAUCAGGUAACAUCAAAUCGUACCCCAAA